CUCGUGAGGAUUAAUCCAUAAGGG
rnacentral:piRNA from 1 species